rnacentral:rRNA from 1 species
GACAGAGGUGCCGAGCGUUAGGCGGAAUUACUGGGCGUAAAGCGCCUGUAGGUGGUUUUGUGAGUUUGAUGUGAAAGCCCUGGGCUUAACCUGGGAAUCGCGUUGAAUACUGCAAGACUAGAGUCGGAUAGAGGGUCGUGGAAUUUCCGGUGUAGCGGUGAAAUGCGUAGAUAUCGGAAAGAACAUCGGUGGCGAAGGCGGCGACCUGGGUCCAGACUGACACUGAGGGGCGAAAGCGUGGGGAGCAAACAGGG